CAUGGCGGCGAGCUAUGGUGGUUGUGCGGUUGCCGUCGGGAACUAUCCACCGCCAUCCUUCGUCGCUGGGGUUCUCCCGCCGCAUCGGCUCCGCCGCAUCGGCGCCCUGUGGGCAUCGCGUCCGGCGGCGGCGCUUCGGUGCGCUGCGAAGGCUGCGAAGGGCAGCGCGACCUUGCCCCCGCCGCCCUCCUCAGGCCGGGCCCGGCCCCGGCAUCCUGGUGUAGAAGGUGAUCCCGGGACAUGGGAUGGCUGGUGACAGCCUCAGCUUUGGGCAGGAGUCCUGGGUGUUCCAGAAGUCACCCAUCUGAUGGAUAAACCCAGCAAUAAUUCUGUGGAAAAAGAUGAGAACCUGUGAGCCCUGUCCCAAGAGCUUCAGCUUGCUUCCCAUAGGACCUGAGUUGUGGUGAAGCUGCAGUGCAGAACAUGUCUUAAGCAGAGGGUGAGCCAUCCCUGAGGGACUUGGUGCUGCAGUGCCAGACUGUUCUUUCCCACCCCUCACCUCCAGAAGUGGGAGCUGUGCAGAGCCAGAUCCUGGCUCCUUCCUGAGCUAUGAGUACCACCAAGUGGGAUUAGCCACUUCUGGGCUCCACCUGCAGUGGAGGGAGAUGGAACUGGCUUGGCUCCAGGUGUUGCUGAAGCUCCAGUUCAGAUGCUCCACCUGGAAGAACAGUCUGUUCCAUGGAGUUUUCUCAGGAGGGGGUCUGGAUAUUAAAUACUUUAUUAGAGCAGGGAGCCAGUAAUGCCAAGGUGGUGGGUUUGAUCCCUGUAUGAGCCACUCACUUAAGAGCUGGACUCGCUGAUCCAUGUGGUCCCUUCCAACUUGGACUAUUCUGUGUGUGUGAUAGGAUUUUGAAUAAAUGCAAUUACUUCAAA